GGUAUUUGCUACGAUAGGAGCUUGCAUUCGCUUAAGUGUGACCGUUAGAUGUUUGGUCUGACGUAAUUUUGUAGCAGUCAGCUUUUCGAGCGCCAAAUUCAAAUUCAUCUAAUUUAAGAGCUAAAUUAUGUACAUUACAGCGGUAAUCACAGACGUGAAGGUUAAUCACAUCUCAAAACACCUAUUAACACUAAAUGACGCCGUUAGCAAAAUUGCGGCAUAAUCAGAUGCGCGUGCAUUCAACGGUAAUGCGAUGCUGCAAGACAGGGUCGCUGGAUCGGGGAUAUAUAGGAUUACCGUUGCGAAGCACGAACGCCUUAAUUAGCUCUGCGAGAAGCGCAAAAAAAUACAAAACAAAGCAGCAUAAGCUUGCUUAUUUUACGCUGCGAAGUCAACAUACGCCAUUCGAGGAAGUAAAGCGUUAACCGUGUGUUGACAUGCCCCUUUAGCUUUUCCAACAAUCAUCACCCAAAAGUAUGUAUGGGUGUACACAGGACUCUACAAAAUGGCCGCAAGGACGCGAACUUCCCGUCGUGACCGUGAACUUGGCGUUGCCCUAAAUGAAGUAAGCGACUCAAUUUGAUUUCCUCGCCUCGUUUACCUGCCGCUCUUUACUCCUGAUAAUUUUAAUCAUCAAAGAAGGAAAAUUACUACAGCCUCACACAGCGGGAAAAUG